AACCGUACCCUAAACCGACACAGGUGAACAAGUUUAGUAAACUAAGGCGCUUGAGAGAAUUAUGUUGAAGGAACUCGGCAAAAUGACUUCGUAACUUCGGGAUAAGAAGUGACUCUGAGAAGGUAACUUCUUAGAGUUGUCACAAAAUCGGGGGCAGCGACUGUUUAACAAAAACACAGGUCUCUGCGAAUUCGUAAGAAGAUGUAUUGAGGCUGACGCCUGCCCAGUGCUGCAAGAUUAAAGGAGAAAGUUUUUUGGCUUUAACCCUAACUCCCAGUAAACGGCGGCUGUAUUCUGACGGUCCUAAGGUAGCGAAAUUCCUUGGCAUUUAAUUGGUGUCCUGCAUGAAUGGCGUAACGACUGCCCCACUGUCUCCAGCAUAAGCUCAGUGAAACUGAAUUGUUCGUGAAGAUGCGAACUACUUGCGGCUAGACGGAAAGACCCCGUGCACCUUUACUAUACCUUUACAUUGGGUUACGGCAACUGCUGCGCAGGAUAGGUGGGAGGCUUUGAGACCGGACUUUCGGGUUCGGUGGAGCCAACGGUGAGAUACCACCCUGCGGUUGUUGUGAUCCUAACCUGCUUCCCUUAUCGGGAAGAGGGACAUUGUAAGGCGGGUAGUUUGACUGGGGCGGUCGCCUCCUAAAUUGUAACGGAGGCGCGCGAAGCUACACUCAGGUCGUUUGGAAAUCGACCGUCGAGUGCAAAGGCAUAAGUGUGGUUAACUGCAAGACCUACAAGUCGAGCAGAUGCGAAAGCAGGCCUUAGUGAUCCGGUGGUUCUGUAUGGAAGGGCCAUCGC
rnacentral:rRNA from 1 species